UGCACGCGUAUUGCGCGUAUCGGCGGUCGCGCUUUGCGCUUCACUAUCCCUUUGCGCAUUCUGUUCUGGCGCUACAAAUCAACGCGCUUCCCUACCUCGCCGGAAUUUCUCUACUGAAAGCGUUCGUCGCCUCCAGACACACAUAUAAGGCGUCAUGGGACGGACAAAUUUUGUUGGGGCACUCGCCAAGGAAUGCUUCCGCAUCAAAAGACUGAUUCCAUCGAGCAUGGCCUCCAAGAACUGGCGGAGUGCGCAAUCUUGGAGGCCAUUGUUGAACAGUUCGUGGCAGUUCUCCCGUGACACGAGUAUAGUUCGACGCUUACUCGAAAAUUUAUGCCUGUUUUGGUUUGAAGCCUCGGAUAAUUGCCGUCGAUGGACAGUCACUGUGCAGGCGAGCAGAGAAGUGGACGAAGAGGAAGGACCGUAUUGACAGUGUUAAAAAUGUUUUCGCAUAUUUAAUUCAAAACGUAUUCACACGACCACGUCACACAACAUCCACUGAGUGCCUUGGAUACUGUCGCGUGAGAACGUGCCUCAUGAACUUCGAUGUAUAAACACCGGGCUGUCACGUCUCUUUAUUGUAACGUCAAGUCCUUUCCUCAUUCUCAUGGAAAUUGCUUUUACAGAAUACCGUUCAUCACAAGAACACAGAUAAAACUUUAUUGAAGAACAUUCAUUCAUUUAAUCAACCUUAUUCACCCCCAUCCCAUACCCUUGUAUGCCCUGAGGCAUUUAUCCUCGCAUUAAAAAAAAUAGAACAUUCCCGGCCCAGACCUAUAGUGAUUGGGCGGAAGACGACUGAUGAGGCAGUGGAUAUGUCAAGCAUUGUAAGUUGUUUACCCCCUCUCUCCCUCCUCCAUUCCCUUACUUUUGUAAUGCCCCACUGGAGCGUUUAAAGCAAAAAUAAAGUGAUGACGACGAUUAUGUGAGCGUUGUCGCAGAGAGGCAACGGCGAGAUAUCGUCUGCUAGUCUGUCAAGUUGUUGAGCUCGGUUUCCACGAGCCUGCCGUCGAAGGUCACGAGGUCCCCGGUCGGGUAAGUCAUCGGUUGAGAUCUGGGCAAACGUUGCUCAGUGGAUCUGGGCCUGUGAAUAGGACCUCGGACUGAGUGCAAAUUCUGCAAUAAUAGUCAAGCAGGAACAGUGCAGAAAAUCGUCAAAACCUCCUCGGGUCAUUGGUACUCGAUUAAUUAGGUACCUUGCAAUCAUUUUGCUUCAAAAUGAACUCGGAAGCGAUUAAGUGAAAUAUCCAUGCCGAAUAAAAAUGCAGAUGCACGCGGGAUUGUUUUGUCAAGCAAACUGGCCCUCUCCUAAGGCUCAAAAGGAAAUAAAACAUAAUGACGUUUAGAGACCAUUACGGCUCCCUCGUUCACAAUGGACCCGUAGCGGUCUCGAAACGUCUUUAUAUGUUUUAUUUCCUUUUGAACCUUAGGCGAGGGUCACUUUAUUUGACAAUGUAUCACCUUCGCCAGACGAGUUUUCGUCGAACUUUGGACUACGCGGAAUCGUAUGGACGUCAUUACCGUUAGAUUUUAUGAAAUUUGACAUCAGCUCGACUUGGACCACUGUGUCGGCCCAUACGAUACCUCUAAAAUGCAAUACCGCGAGUUGGUACGAAAAACCGAAAUGCUGCACCAAGCAAGCCACGCGUUCCCCUUUAUAAAAAAAAAGUGCCGUAUUCUUUCACAUUCUGUGUAAAUAAGAUCAUGCAUGUGUACAGUACCCGCCCGCCUCACAUGGUGCUGUGGAUCACAAAGCAACGAAGGGAAGCCUAUUGCAAAGUGACCUACGCACAGUCGUAUGAUAGUGCAAUGUUCGGAACUUGAAAUCAAGCUCUUCGGAAUGCGGUGUGUUUAGUUAUGCAAAUAAAAGG